CACUAAGGGACUGGAGUCACCGGAGUCAUGUGAGAAACUGCACUUUACUGAACUGAAGAAAGACAACAUUCACAUCAGACAACGGGAGAGAUGGACAUGAAACAUCUAACGUGUUAGUUAAAAUGAAGACGGUUUGUUGUUUAAGGAGAUACACUUACAACAAACUAUACAGUCCUGAACAGCAGUCUUCAUGCCGACCAGAAAGAUGUUGGUUACUAUGCAACGAGAUGGUAGCCUGCGGAUCACAUUGCCUCUCCUCACCACAGCAGCCUGUACUACUGCCUCCUACUGACCGGAGGACAAACUACACUCAUCCUACCAGCUGUGUGUGAAUUGGGAGCGGUCGCUAGGACAGGGACAUCGUAACCAUGGUGAAACAGUCAGCGUGGCAUUCCGGCAGAAUGUGGAACAAGAGGAUGAGGAUAACUCUGCCUCGACGACAAUCAUUAUCAUGGACAAAGUCAGCCCAUCUCCACCGGCCAAAACUCAGAGAAGCUUCAGGAGCAAAUGUCAUGAAGAGAACAGUACUUAUCCCCCGCCCAAGCAGUGCUCGCUGUCCCUCACCAGGCUCAACACCAUCAUGGCUGCUGCCAGCGCCAGCCCCCUCGACACCCAGAGCCCCCCGGGUAGAGACUCAGACCCUGACGAAAGGGAUACAGCCAGUCCAUCCCAGGGCCAGGAGAAACCAGUCUUUCAACUGGAGAUGUGACAGUAUUCAUAAAGCGUCUCAGUAUGGCAGCUGAUAAAUGAUCCCAUCCUGACCGGUUCAUAUAAAUCUUAAUCAUUACGAAUUAAAUCGCGAAACCUUUUCUAGGUCAGCCCUCCUAGUCUUGAUAGAUGCAGCCCCUAAGCAGGAAGAUCAGGGUCAUGUUCAAUAGGGCAUACAGACACACCGUACCAAAAUAGUUUGGAACAGAAAAAAAUGAGUUUCUUACUGGACAACUUUAACAGAUAGUGCCUUGCCAUUUCACUCCAUUGUAAAACAUUUACUCAAUCACAAAUUCCCAGACAAAUUUAAGAUUUUGACAUGUCAUCAAAUCCAGCAGAUUCCAUUAAUAUUUUGUUAAAGGAAUUGGAAAUAAAACAUUAAAAAUACGUGUUAACUUUGGAUGAUUGUGUUGUUAAUCCCAGUGUAUAUGGUUCUAACCUUGUCCCCAGGUUAUAAUUGUGCAAAAAUCUAAUAAGCCUGGAAUAACAUCUAUAGUCUGGUCUAUGUAAGAGUGAACAAAAAAAUAUGAUUUAUUUCAUCAUUAUUUGAGCUUAGCGAAUCACAGGACUGCAAGAUAGGGCUCCAAAUUAGAGGUACACAAUAUGUGAGGAAGUGUUCAGAGGGAAGUGAUUGAUUAAAUAUAAAGCCGAUGGCUAUUGCCUCGGGACUUUUUCGUGUUCUUUCUAUUGGGUUAAAGGCCCAGGGCAGUUUAAAAAUAACAUGAUUUCCCUGUGUUCUAUAGACACUGAGUGUACAAAACAUUGACCAGGUGAAAGCUAUGUUCCCAUAUUGAUGUCACUUGUUAAAUUCACUUCAAAUCAGUGUAGAUGAAGGGGAGGAGACA